AGCUGGGCAGAGCUGGGCUGAGCUGGGCUGGGCUGGUUUGGGUUGGAUGGUCUGAGCUAGGUGGUCUGAGCUGGUCUCAGCUUGUUGAGCUGGGCUAAAUGGAGCUAGGUGGGCUGAGCUGGGCUUGUCUGAGCUGGAGUGAGCUGAAAUCAGCUAGGCUGAUCUGGGCUUUGCUGAAUUGGGCUGAGCUGGACUGAGCUUGGCUGAGCUGGACUAGGCUGAUCUGAGCUGGGCUGAUCUGGGCUGGGCUGGGCUGGGCUGGGCUGGUCAGUGUUGAGCUGAACUGAGCUGAGCUGGUUUGGGUUGGACGGUCUGAGCUAGGUGGUCUGAGCCAUGCUGAGCUGGGCUGAACAGCAAGCUGGGCUGAGCAGGGCUGAGACGAGCUGGGCUGGACUAAGGGGGAUGAUCAGGUUGGGCUGAACAAGGUCUCAGCUGCACUGAGCUGAGCUGGGAUGGCUGAAGUUGGGUGGGCUGAGCUAGACUGGGAUGAGCUGAGUGGGGCCGAGCCUGCCAGGCUGAGCGAGGCUGAACAGGGCUUCACUGCAGUGGGCUACUCUGGGCUGACCUAGGCGAAGCUGGGCCAAGCUGAGCUGGACUGAACUGGGCUGGGGUGAGCUAGACAGAGUGAGCUGAGCUGGGCCAAGAGGAGCUGAUCCAGCCUGAGCUAACUAGGCUGAGAUUAGCUUGGCAAAACUGGACUGAACAGUGCCAAUCUCUACCUGGCUGGGCUGACCAGGGCUGACCAGGGCUGAGCUGGGUGAAGCUGAGCUGGGUAAACCAAAUAGAGCUGGGCUGAGCUGAUCUACUCUGAAUGGGUGGACUGGGCUGGGCUGAGCUAGGCUGAGCUGAGCUGGCCUGAGAUGGACAGAACCUGGCCAAACUGAGCUGAGCUGGACUGAACUGGCUGACCUGAGCUAGAAGACUGGGUUAGACUGCACUGAGCUGAGCACAGCUGAGCUGAGCUGGGACGAGAUGGGCCGGGCCGGGCUGGGCUGUGCAGGGCAGGGGAUGGCCUAAGCUAGAUGCACAGUCCUGGUCGAGGUUUUCUGGGACUCUGCGCAGAACUGAAGAGUAGUCUGCAGGCUGAGUGCAGACCAGCCCCAGUCCCUGGGUCCAGCCAGACUGUCCCUCCCUUUCUUUGGAGCAUGGGGGCCAUGAAGUAAAAGGUCCAUCCAGGGUGCUCUUCUCUCUUUCCUUGCUGCCCUGAAAUCCGGCCGUGCACUUCCUGUGUCCUGGUCUUGUCCCGGCGGAAGCCCUGCUCUGCACUGGGCCUCUGGCCUUGAGACCCAUUCUCCAUGACCAAGCCCAGCGUCUUCCCACUGAGCGGCCCUCGAGACAAGUCAGCCAACCAAGUGAUCAUUGGCUGCCUGAUUCAGAACUUCUUCCCCUCGGGGCCCGUGACCGUGACCUGGGGCAAGAAUGGAGAAGGCGUGACCGUCACUGACUUCCCGCCUGCCCAGGCCACAGGGGGCCUGUACACCAUGAGCAGCAAGCUGACCCUGCCAGCCUCCGAGUGCCCAGAGAACACAUCUGUGAAGUGCAGCGUGCAGCACACCUCGAACCCUGCCCAGGAAGUGGAGGUGCCCUGUGAAGUUUCAGAUCCUAAGGAGGAGCUCCCUCCCGUCUGCGGCCAACCCCGCCUCUCCCUGCUCCGGCCGGCCCUUGAGGACCUGCUCCUGGGCUCUGACGCCAGCCUCACGUGCACACUGAGUGGCCUCAAGAGUCCAGAUGGGGCCAGCUUCACCUGGGAGCCCUCAGUCGGGAAGAACGCUGUCCAGACUACUGGGCGAGACGCCUGCGGCUGCUACAGCGUGUCCAGUGUCCUGCCCGGCUGUGCCGAGCCCUGGAACCGCGGGGACAUCUUCACGUGCACGGCCACCCAUCCUGACUCCAGACAGACGCUAACUGCCACCAUCAGCAAAGCCACAGAGAACACCUUCCGGCCCCAGGUCCACCUGCUGCCGCCGCCGUCGGAGGAGCUGGCCCUGAACGAGCUGGUGUCGCUGACGUGCCUGGUGCGGGGCUUCAGCCCUGAGGACGUGCUGGUGCGCUGGCUGCACGGGGGCCAGGAGCUGCCCAGCAGCGAGUACCUGACGUGGAAGCCCCUGAAGGAGCCCGAGCAGGGCCCCACCACCUUCGCCGUGACCAGCGUGCUGCGUGUGACGGCCGCGUCCUGGAAGCAGGGGGACAACUUCUCCUGCAUGGUGGGCCACGAGACCCUGCCCCUGGCCUUCACCCAAAAGACCAUCGACCGCCUGUCGGGUCCUCUGUGUCUUCCAGACUGUCAGGAGCCACUGCCCUACGUGGUGCUGGACCAGCCACAGGAGAUCCUGGAGGAGGACGUCCCAGGGGCCAGCCUGUGGCCCACCACCGUCACCCUCCUCACCCUCUUCCUGCUGAGCCUGUUCUAUAGCACAGCGCUGACCGUCACGACCGUGCGGGGCCCGCCUGGCAGCAAAGAGGGCCCACAGUACUGAGGAGGAGACAGCCGGCCCAGGGAGGAAACGUGGAGACACCCUGGAUGUGUCAGAGCUGAGCCCUGAGUGAGGCCACGGUCUCACCCCCACUCUCCGCUUUCCCUGCAAUAAACUGAUGCCAAACGCAGA